rnacentral:rRNA from 1 species
CAAUAGCGUAUAUUUAAGUUGCUGCAGUUAAAAAGCUCGUAGUUGGAUUUCGGGUGGGAAUGGCCGGUCCGCCGUUUCGGUGUGCACUUGCUACGCCCACCUUGCUGCCGGGGACGUGCUGUUGAGUUCACGCUCGGGACACGGAGUCGGCGAGGUUACUUUGAGUAAAUUAGAGUGUUCAAAGCAGGCCUACGCUCUGAAUACAUUAGCAUGGAAUAACACGAUAGGACUCUGGCCUAUCUUGUUGGUCUGUAGGACCGGAGUAAUGAUUAAGAGGGACAGUCGGGGGCAUUCGUAUUUCAUUGUCAGAGGUGAAAUUCUUGGAUUUAUGAAAGACGAACUACUGCGAAAGCAUUUGCCAAGGAUGUUUUCAUUAA